rnacentral:lncRNA from 1 species
GUGGGAUUUUCGGCUUUUUUUGCAAUAGUGUAGAGAAAGAUAAAAUAUGAGGGUUUUACUGUGGUACUGUCGACAGAAACUUGGGGUUUAGAGGAUGAGAGAAUCGACCAAAGAUGAUGAGAAAAAUAAGAGAAUUGGCUAAGGAAAUCGGUACAAGAGGAAUCAAGUUUUCGGGAUUUCAGGAUUUGAGGCAAUCGGCUAUAGUCUUAAAAAUAAUGGAAGGAAGAAGGAGUUUGAACCAAGAGAAAAUUAACAACAAAGGAUCUAGUUUCGGCUUCUAAAACUCAUUCU